rnacentral:lncRNA from 1 species
GUGGCCUCCCCUCUCUUUGGGUUUGGGCCAGAAUGGCGCAAUCGAGGUUCAUAAAAAGGUUAAAAGUAAUAAUACAAGGGACUUUUCCUUCUUUUUUACGGAAUGGCACUUUAUUGAGGUUGAGGAAUGCACACGGUCCCCAUAUGGUACUUAUUCUUCUUUUUGAGGGUGUUUGGAAAUAUAUUGACGCAGAAUUGUAUUUCCGUUCAUUAUUUCUGAGGUAAGAGAAUGUGAAGGGGAUUUUUGAGUGAACAUCAGCCAGUGUUUGCAAUGUUUGCCUCGGCUUCGUGUGUGGAAAGGGCCACCUACAGCCCUCCAGCAUCUCCGAGCUUGCAAGUUCGUCGGCAGUAAGAUCGAUAAUCCUUUCUCUCAGUAGAUCUACAUUUUUUUUAUUCAGAUUUCAGAUUUUCAGGUUCUGCGCCUCCCUUAGGCAAAGUUACAGAUUUUGCGAUGUCUCGGCUUGGAUUCCUGGUCGCAGCCAAAAGAAAUAUAUCCUCUCCGUCCAGAGUUCCUUUUUAGGAUUUCAUUCGCCAACAGCUCAUAGGAUCUGAGCCACUCCCAAAUCUGCGCCGAGAUACACCCCGCUGAAUGAAAGCCAACGCCCGCGGCACUGGAGCUUCACAUCGAUGUCUCCUGCGGUCAAGGCGAAAGGGCGAGACCGCUGUGGGUGGCGUCAGAAAAUCUUGCUGACACUGACCUUGAUGGUGACCUGUGCUGACCGUUGACCCGAACUGAGAUGGAGACGAUUUCCUGAGGUGCGCAUUCAGUCGUCAGCACGGAGGCGCAGAGGCAGUCACGGGGCGGGAAGUCCUCUGCGAAACGAAGACCCAGUCAGGGAACGUCAAGUGAUGUCACAGAUGUCCCGAGAAGGUCAUCACAAGUGGACGACUCUACACACUCUUCGUCGCGCCAUGACCUCGGGGACUGGCUCUGU